AUGUGACAUUCUUCAUACUAUAUAUAUUCUUCCUACUUGGCGACUUUUUUCAGCAUCUGUAAAAAAAAAAAAAGAGACUAUAGCUAUAGGUGUGCACUACUCUUGCAGACUUACCGAGACCAAUCAACGUCACAUGGCGUGAAACGGACUGUCACCUAAACACUUAUCUAUUGCUCCCAAUUAAGUAAUGUUCUAAUGUUCUGUUUUUGUGCCAUGACCAUAAACACGAUUCAACUUAAAGAAGGCAACAUAUAGUUUGAAGAAGUCAACAAAAUUGCUGCGUAGUUUGCUGCAGAUUUGUAAUCAGUGAGUAAGGAUAUCUGCGGCAAUAAAAUCUGCAGCAAAAGCCGCACGUGUGAACAUACCCUAAAUUCCUACAAGUUUUCUAUUUUCUAUGCAAACACAUGCUGGUCCCUUCUAUAACAGCUACAGUAUAUUAGAUAAAAAAAAGAUAAAAAAUUCAGUUUAUUACUUUGGCCAAAGUGAGGACCUCCAGCUGUUGCAAAACUAAUACAGUAUAUUAGAUAAAAAGAAAAAAAAUUCAGUUUAUCACAGUGGUCUCCAAAGUGUGGACCUCCAGCUGUUGCAAAACUAAUACAGUAUAUUAGAUAAAAAGUUCAGUUUAUCGCAGUGGUCUCCAAAGUGUGGCCCUCCAGCUGUUUCAAACAGAAUACAGUAUAUUAGAUAAAAAGAUUAAAAAAUUCAGUUUAUCGCAGUGGUCUCCAAAGUGUGGACCUCCAGCUGUUGCAAAACUAAUACAGUAUAUUAGAUAAAAAGAUUUUUAAAAAUCAGUUUAUCGCAGUGGUCUCCAAAGUGUGGACCUCCAGCUGUUGCAAAACUAAUACAGUAUAUCAGAUAAAAAAUUCAGUUUAUCCCAGUGGUCUCCAAAGUGUGGACCUCCAGCUGUUGCAAAACUAAUACAGUGUAUUAGAUAAAAAGAUUAGACAGUGGUCUCCAAAGUGUGGACCUCCAGCCGUUGCAAAUCUAAUACAGUAUAUUAGAUAAAAAGAUAAAAAAUUCAGUUUAUCGCAGUGGUCUCCAAAGUGUGGACCUCCAGCUGUUGCAAAACUAAUACAGUAUAUUAGAUAAAAAGAUUUUUAAAAAUCAGUUUAUCGCAGUGGUCUCCAAAGUGUGGACCUCCAGCUGUUGCAAAACUAAUACAGUAUAUCAGAUAAAAAAUUCAGUUUAUCCCAGUGGUCUCCAAAGUGUGGACCUCCAGCUGUUGCAAAACUAAUACAGUGUAUUAGAUAAAAAGAUUAGACAGUGGUCUCCAAAGUGUGGACCUCCAGCCGUUGCAAAUCUAAUACAGUAUAUUAGAUAAAAAGAUAAAAAAUUCAGUUUAUCGCAGUGGUCUCCAAAGUGUGGACCUCCAGCUGUUGCAAAACUAAUACAGUAUAUCAGAGAAAAAAUUCAGUUUAUCGCAGUGGUCUCCAAAGUGUGGACCUCCAGCUGUUGCAAAACUAAUACAGUGUAUUAGAUAAAAAGGUCAAAAAAAUUCAGUUUAUCGCAGUGGCCAAAGUAUGGACCUCCAGCUGUUGCAAAACUAAUACAGUGUAUUAGAUAAAAAGAUUAGACAGUGGUCUCCAAAGUGUGGACCUCCAGCUGUUGCAAAACUAAUACAGUAUAUUAGAUAAAAAGAUAAAAAAUUCAG